GACUACCUAGGCUACUCAAGGUAGUAAAACAAAAAAAAACCAAUAAAACUKGGSGGUUAUAAUUACUUAGAGAAACUCGCUUCAUAAUCGAAAACACCCGUUAAAUUUCACUUAAUCAAACAGCUUUUAUACCGCCGUCACAGAAUUAGCAUAAAUCCUAACGCCCAAACGAAAAUUUUAAAAAAAUCAGGUCARGGAGAAGCCAAAGACUAAGAAGAAGUAAGUUACAUUAAUAAUAAAUUAAGGAAUAAAAUACAAAUAAAAUAAGAAAGAGAAUCUAAAAGUMCAAUAGCAUUAAAAUUACAACUAGAAAGCCUAAACUAUAACGCACACAUCGC
rnacentral:rRNA from 1 species